GAGGAUCGGAUCUCCUCCACCGCCGCCGCCUCAUCCUCUACUCCGACGAAUUCUGCCGCUGACUUCUGCUCGGCGCCGCUGCGAUCAGAUCAGCUCCGCCGCUGCGAUCAGAUCUGCUUGGCACCGCCGCUGCGAUCAGAUCAGCUGCGAUCAGAUCUGCUCCGGUGACUUCUGCUCGGCGCCGCUGCCGCGUAGCCGCUGGAGAAAGAGAGAGGGAGAUGAGAAGGAGAGAGG
rnacentral:lncRNA from 1 species